rnacentral:rRNA from 1 species
CGCGUAGGCGGCCAAUUAAGUCAAAUGUGAAAUCCCCGAGCUUAACUUGGGAAUUGCAUUCGAUACUGGUUGGCUAGAGUGUGGGAGAGGAUGGUAGAAUUCCAGGUGUAGCGGUGAAAUGCGUAGAGAUCUGGAGGAAUACCGAUGGCGAAGGCAGCCAUCUGGCCUAACACUGACACUGAGGCACGACAGCGUGGGGAGCAAACAGGAUUAGAGACCCUCGUA